AAGUGUGUGAGGAGUGUGCUCAGGCUAAGGGUCGAAACGAAGGACAGACUCCUUCAGCCUGACUCGA
rfam:Candidatus Synechococcus spongiarum 15L contig201, whole genome shotgun sequence.